rnacentral:rRNA from 1 species
UGAGAAGUGAUUCCUUCCACGGGUGACGCUUCGGAAGCCUUAGCAGCCUGAAAGGGUGGCCCUCAACGACAAUAAAUAAAUUAAGAGGCGCUGAAAUGCUAGUCAGCACGCAAGUACUGGCGACACCGUCAAAUUGCGGGGAUCCCCUAAAGAUUUUUGCUACCAAGCAGCGCCGGGAAACCGAGCUGUGGCCAGGGUAAUGACCUCGGGUAUGGUAACAACGCAAAAAUAUGCGCCUCUGGUGUUCAGAGGCAAAAUGGGCAACCUGCAGCCAAGUCCGUAGCGCUUUCAGUGCCGGAUGCUGUUCACAGGCCAAAUGGUGGUGGGUCGAUCCGAGAGGGUCGGCUUAAGAUAUGGUCGGGCCCCCCGGGAAACCUUGGGGAUAGUCACCAAACAGUCAAAUUGCGGCGGGGAGCGAAAAAGUGUAAGCU